rnacentral:rRNA from 1 species
UGGGGAAUAUUGGACAAUGGGCGAAAGCCUGAUCCAGCGACGCCGCGUGUGUGAAGAAGGCCUGCGGGUUGUAAAGCACUUUCGAUGGGAACGAAAUGUGCCGGGUUAAUACCCCGGUAAGCUGACGUUACUCAAUGAAGAAGCACCGGCUAACUCUGUGCCAGCAGCCGCGGUAAUACAGAGGGUGCGAGCGUUAAUCGGAAUUACUGGGCGUAAAGCGCACGUAGGUGGCGACGUAAGUCGGGUGUGAAAGCCCCGGGCUCAACCUGGGAACUGCCUUUGAUACUGUUAGUCUCGAGUCCGGAAGAGGUGAGUGGAAUUCCUAGUGUAGAGGUGAAAUUCGUAGAUAUUAGGAAGAACACCAGUGGCGAAGGCGGCUCACUGGUCCGGUACUGACGCUGAGGUGCGAAAGCGUGGGGAGCAAACAGGAUUAGAUACCCUAGUAGUCCCUGAGCGGGCUGGCAAGGCGCAU